AGAGUUUGAUCCUGGCUCAGAACGAACGCUGGCGGCGUGCUUAACACAUGCAAGUCGAGUGCGCGGUUGUAGCAAUACAACUGGCGCACGGCGCACGGGUGCGUAACACGUGGGCAACCUGCCCUUUGAUGGGGAAUAACCCCGCGAAAGCGGGGCUAAUACCGCAUAAGAUCCGCAAGGAUGAAAGCCGAAAGGCGUCGAAGGAGGGGCCUGCGCCCGAUUAGCUAGUUGGUAGGGUAACGGCCUACCAAGGCGAUGAUCGGUAGCUGGUCUGAGAGGAUGGCCAGCCACACUGGAACUGAGACACGGUCCAGACUCCUACGGGAGGCAGCAGUGGGGAAUCUUGCACAAUGGGCGAAAGCCUGAUGCAGCGACGCCGCGUGGGGGAUGAAGCAUCUCGGUGUGUAAACCCCUUUCGACCCGGACGAAUACCUCGCAAGAGGGGUGACGGUACGGGUAUAAGAAGCCCCGGCUAACUACGUGCCAGCAGCCGCGGUAAGACGUAGGGGGCCAGCGUUGUUCGGAAUUACUGGGUGUAAAGGGUUCGUAGGCGGUGCGGCAAGUUGGGAGUGAAAUCUCUGGGCUCAACCCAGAGGCUGCUUCCAAAACUGCUGUGCUUGAGCGUGGGAGAGGCGCGUGGAAUUGCAGGUGUAGCGGUGAAAUGCGUAGAUAUCUGCAGGAACACCCGUGGCGAAAGCGGCGCGCUGGACCACUACUGACGCUGAGGAACGAAAGCUAGGGGAGCAAACAGGAUUAGAUACCCUGGUAGUCCUAGCCCUAAACGAUCAGGACUUGGGGUGCCACCCGUUCGGGUGUCGUCCCGGAGCUAACGCGUUAAGUCCUGCACCUGGGGAGUACGGUCGCAGACUGAAACUCAAGGAAUUGACGGGGCCCGCACAGCGUGGACAUGUGGUCAUCGACGCUACGCGAGACUUACUGGCUCGAAUGCUGUGACAGCUGUAGAAAUACGCUUCCCGCAGGGACACCA
rnacentral:rRNA from 1 species